CCUGGCAUAUUUUUCACUCUUCUACUGGACCAGAAAACUGUGUUUCAAAGCUGCAGAAUUACACUGAUCAGAUGCAGUUUUAAAGAUGCUGACAUCUUUUCAGCAGCCCUCUUCAGCCUGCUCAACUGCCAGCCUCCUCACUAAGUUCACUGGGGUCCCAGGAGGAAAUCAGUCUCAUUAAGAAUGCUGCCUCUGAUAAUUUGAUGCCAAGGUAAGAGACUUCUUUGAACAUAACCCAGGACGGUACACCCGCCCGGGAGCGAAAGCGCUAGCUCUGAGAUGGACCGGCAAGUGGAGGCGGCCACAAGGGACCAAGCUGACAGCUUCGCGGAGCGUUUGCGGCGAGUGUGGGACCCGGACACGCAACCGCCAUGGCUAGAGGGUGCGGUCUGAACCCAUCAAGGCUCAUUGGGUUCCUUUGGAAGAUGCUCUCUGCUGCGGGAGCCUCCUUUCACAGGAGAGGGUGCGUGAGCGCGCGCGCGCGCACACACACACGCGCGCACACACACACACACACACACACACCACGCACACACGUCCUUCCCCUGGAGUUGUGUCUCGUCUCCCUUUUGUUUUUCUCCCUUCCCAGUCAUGAGACCCGGAAGUUUUUUUUUUCGUUUUUUUUUAAUCCCGUCUCUCUCCCUUUUCUAACCGCCCCCCCCCAAUCUAUCACAUGGCAGAUAGAAUAAAAACAGAAAAAUGGCGACGGUCACGUUGUGGCGAGCUUUGCUGCGUCAUUAGAUAAUCCUCAUGCAAAUAGCGGGAAGAACAAAGGAAGGGGGGCUCGGGACCCCGGGGGGCGCAGGGUGCUGGCGUGGGUCCCUCGCGGUCCGGCGGCGACUGUAAAUAGAGCCUGGAUGUUGUUUACAUGAAGGAUCCGGCGGGAGGAGUCUGCGAGGAGGAGGCGGAGGAGGAGGGAGGGAGGAGAGAGGAAGACCGGAGUCCCCGCGGCGACGGCGGUCAGGGGUAAGGGUGAACCCCGCGCGGCGUCCGGGGACGGGGCGCUACCACGAGGCCACAGCGCUGGACCCUGGGCUACCCGCACACCAGCAGCCACCUUUUUGGAGAAGGACCACACCUGUGCUUAUUCCGGCUUUGGAGGAGAGAAGUAGGAGUAGAAGCUCUGAGAACGGUGGACUCUGCAGAAAAGAGAGGUGUAGAUGUGUUUCUGGAACAGCCCACAGCUCAAGAAUUGGAGCAUCACCACUUGCUGAGCUGUGACCCCCACUUUUUCUUCUUCCCUACAUCUCGAACCAGAAGGGAAUCUUUUAGUCUUCCACUUCAUGGGGAGCCUAUGGAGGAAGUCAUGCAAUCACCUGGAAAAGAUGCCACCAGCCAACACAGUGACUGACAGGCUGCCCUGGCUCAGUUAUCACAGUGCUGAUGCUGUCCAUUCUAAAGGUACAGUACUGUGAUAACUGAAGGAUGGCAGCCAUCUUGCCUUCUAUCCGAGGAGUCCCAUCAUGCCCAGGGAAGAAGACAGAAGAAGAAAGACGCGUGUGAAACAGGUGCGGGGACCCAGAAACUCUCUUACGCUGUUCCUUUAUUGUACCUUCCCUAGGGCAUACAGCAUGUUAUUCAAUCUGUCUUUGCCUUAUUUUGAACAUGGGGAUAAAGAGGAGUUGGGUCGUUGUUUGCAAAGCAGUGUGAAGACUUGUACCAAGUGGAUAUAUAUUAAGAUCUUUGAAACUUCCAAGAGUCUGAUAUUAGAUAAGUACUAAGUGUGAAUUAGCAUUUUAGGAGUGGUAUUCAGAGAAAUUUGCCAUUUUUAUAAGUGUAAGAGGUAACCUGAUUAGAAUAACUUGGCACUUACAGUAUUAGAUAGUCAAAAUGAAAUUCAACUUAAAUGGGGAGAAAAAAGCUCUACGUGUUGAACAGUAUUGAUAUAAUUGCAUGAAUAAAAUUAUGUCUUUGUGUUUGAAGAAUGGAGAGGGACAUGGCAUGUUUCUUUCAGGAACAUAAAUACUUGAAAUCUAGUCUAAUUCUAAAAAUAUUUGUUGAAUGCCCAUGUUAUUGCUGUUGGUGUCACCUUUACAUGAAAAUCAGAUGCAAAUAAUUUUUAUCAACUAAUUAAAGACCACCCUGCAGUGACAGAACAAAUUAAUUUUAGGGGUAUGAAGCUAUAAAUACCAAGCCAACAGAAGGUUUACAUAAAAGACUAGGAAAUUUUGUAAAGCACUCAUCUUCAACCUGCAUCCUACUCUAGAGAGUAUUGUUAGGGUGGGCUUAUUAGAGAAGCCAGAGUUUCCUCCAUCCCUCCUUCCUCAAGACUCCUAAGGAAGCUGUACACAUGGAACAGCAGCAGACAAGAAGCAAAGUACACACCCUCAUUAUGUGUUAGAUCACAGUCUGCUGCAAGGCUCAGGAAAUGUCAUGGAGUUUAGGCUCAAUGCCUAAACAGGGACAUCUUACCUUUUCCUAGGCUCAUGUCUGUAUCUGGGAACUGUAUCAUUCCUGUCUGUAACUGGAUGGCUAGCUGGUGAAGAACCUAAAGCAGUAACCCAUAUGCUUGGGCAAAAAGAGAAUAAAGCCUGUUAGGGUCAGACUCUACUUGGACCUGCCUACUACUACAGGGCGAGAAGAACCAGUGUGAAGGAAAACCACAUUUGUGAUCUGAACGAACAGAGUCCGAACCCACUAGUCAGCACAGCCCAGUCAGUCUUAGACUUGGGCCAUUUGUAUUUUCAUGUCCUUCACUGGAACGGAGUAAGAAAAAAAGGGAACUGGAAGUGGGUGAAUAGGCAAAAGCCUUGCCUCCCUGUCCAGAGAGGUUCAGUUUCACCCUUCACUGUCCUCAGGCAUUCCUGGUCGUUCCUUUGCUGGUUCACACAAUUCUCUUUCACCUCUCCUUUCCGCUUUUCCACCUGAAGAAGUAACCCCUUGAGCCACACCUGCUUGGUCCUGAAUUGUUGUUUUGCAUAUAGCAUUGACCACAUUAUGGCCCAGUACCUUCACAUGUCCUCAUGUAUUCACAAUUGUUCUACACUGCAGGCGAGACAGUGUUUUUGAUUAAUAAUUGGGAGCGAUGGCUCUGCUCAGUUGUGUAUUAUACUACCAGCCCUGAAAUUCCUUGGAGUGUUCUGCUCCCAUGAACAGAAAAGGAAUUUCUGACAGAAACUCUGGAAGAACUUCUAAGAAAGGAAAGUUCUGGGAUUGGUGAAUUCUCAAGUAACUUGAAAUACUCCUAAUUUUUAGUAGUAUAGCAGGUGGAAAAAAGUGCUUCAGGGACUGAGGUGUUAUGCAAUCGUUGGCGUUGCUGAGGAUUUCACCACCUUGCCUGAUCUUCCUGUUUUCCCGUUACUGGUUCUAUAAAAAUUCAGGUUUUAUACUUACCCAACCUUGACCCCGGGAUUCACACCCAAGUCUUGGGUGUUGCAGAGCUGAGUGUUGGGUGUAUUUUGGAAUCACCCCUGUAUUUCUACAGAUGGAGCUAUACUGGGCCCCACUUCCUGUCAACAGGGAAGCCUGAGGCUGGGUCUGCAGCAGUAUUGCCGGGAGGCUUGCACAGGCCUGGAGGCCCUUGGCAUCUUCCAGGCAGUUCAUAGAUGUAAGGUGUUCCAACAGGUUAAGUGAGAAACGAUGCAAGAGAAAUUGGAUGGGGUUUUUCCACUAGGAUUAAAACACACAAAGUGUAUUGGUUGGUGUACUCAUUGUGGUCUUUGGUUUAGGUAUGAGAAAGGGAAGGAUGGAAUUAAGUAUAGAAAUACCACAUGAUCCAGCAAUUCCAUUUCUGGUUUAAUACCCAAAUGAAGGGACUCAGACAGAUGAUAUACCCGUGUUCACAGCAGUAUUAUUCACAAUAGCCAAAAAAUAAGAAGCAACCCAAAUGUCUGUCAGAUGAAUGGACAAACAAAGGUAUAUACCUAACAAUGAAAUACUGUUCAGCUUUAAAAAGGAAGAAAAUACUGACAUGUGCUAUAACAUGGAUGAACCUUGAUGAUAUAUGCAGAGUGAAGUAAGCUGGACACAAAAGGACAAAUACUGUGUGUCUCCAAUUACAUGAGGUACCUAGAGUAGUCAAAUUCAUAGAGACAGAAAAUGGAAUGGUGGUUUCCUGGGGCUGGAGGAAGGGGAAAAUGGGAAGUUCGUGUUCAACGGGUACAAAAUUGAUUGAGGAUGAUGAAAAAUUCUGGAGAUGGAGUCAUAACAAUGGGAAUGUACUUAACGCCACAGAACUGUACACUUAAAAAUGGUUAUAAUAGUACAUUUUGUGUCUAUUUUCCCACAGAAAAAGCAUCAGGGUCAUAGCAUCAUUACAGCCAGCUACAAGAUUGAUUGCUCACUUUCUUAGGCUUCAGGAUGGAAGAUAACUGCUGUGUCAAGUGAGCAAUUAAAAUGUACUUCCCAGGAGUGGAAUUGCUGGGUCAUAUGCUGGUUCUGUUUUUAAUUUUUUGAGGAACUUCCAUAUCAGCUGCACCAAUAGCGGCUGCACCAAUCUGCAAUCCCACCAACGAUGCAUGAGGGUUCC